rnacentral:rRNA from 1 species
CCUACGGGUGGCAGCAGUGAGGAAUAUUGGUCAAUGGACGCGAGCCUGAACCAGCCAAGUCGCGUGAGGGAGGACGGCCCUACGGGUUGUAAACCUCUUUUGCCGGGGAGCAACGGGCGUCACGUGUGGCGCCACUGAGAUUACCCGGAGAAAAAGCAUCGGCUAACUCCGUGCCAGCAGCCGCGGUAAUACGGAGGAUGCGAGCGUUAUCCGGAUUUAUUGGGUUUAAAGGGUGCGUAGGCGGUGUGAUAAGUUAGAGGUGAAAUGUCGGGGCUCAACCCCGAAACUGCCUCUAAUACUGUUGGACUAGAGAAUAGUUGCGGUAGGCGGAAUGUAUGGUGUAGCGGUGAAAUGCUUAGAGAUCAUACAGAACACCGAUUGCGAAGGCAGCUUACCAAACUAUAUCUGACGUUGAGGCACGAAAGCGUGGGUAGCAAACAGGAUUAGAUACCCGUGUAGUC